GAUCCGGCUCAGGAUGAACGCUAGCUACAGGCUUAACACAUGCAAGUCGAGGGGGCAGCAUGGUCUUAGCUUGCUAAGGCCGAUGGCGACCGGCGCACGGGUGAGUAACACGUAUCCAACCUGCCGUCUACUCUUGGACAGCCUUCUGAAAGGAAGAUUAAUACAAGAUGGCAUCAUGAGUUCACAUGUUCACAUGAUUAAAGGUAUUCCGGUAGACGAUGGGGAUGCG
rnacentral:rRNA from 1 species